rnacentral:rRNA from 1 species
AUACGUAGGGGGCGAGCGUUGUCCGGAAUGAUUGGGCGUAAAAGGCGCGUAGGCGGCCCGGUAAGUCUGGAGUGAAAGUCCUGUUUUUAAGAUGGGAAUUGCUUUGGAUACUGUCGGGCUUGAGUGCAGGAGAGGUAAGUGGAAUUCCCAGUGUAGCGGUGAAAUGCGUAGAGAUUGGGAGGAACACCAGUGGCGAAGGCGACUUACUGGACUGUAACUGACGCUGAGGCGCGAAAGUGUGGGGAGCAAACAGGAUUAGAUACCCUGGUAGUCCACACUGUAAACGAUGAAUGCUAGGUGUAGGGGGUAUCGACCCCUUCUGUGCCGCAGUCAACACAAUAAGCAUUCCGCCUGGGGAGUACGGCCGCAAGGUUGAAACUCAAAGGAAUUGACGGGG